GCCAGACUCCUACGGGAGGCAGCAGUGGGGAAUAUUGCACAAUGGGCGAAAGCCUGAUGCAGCAACGCCGCGUGAAGGAAGAAGGGUUUCGGCUCGUAAACUUCUAUUAACAGGGACGAAAGAAAUGACGGUACCUGAAUAAGAAGCCCCGGCUAACUACGUGCCAGCAGCCGCGGUAAUACGUAGGGAGCGAGCGUUGUCCGGAAUUACUGGGUGUAAAGGGAGCGUAGGCGGGCUUGUAAGUUGAAUGUCUAAUCCACCGGCUCAACCGGUGAUCGCGUUCAAAACUGCAGGUCUUGAGUGAAGUAGAGGCAGGCGGAAUUCCUAGUGUAGCGGUGAAAUGCGUAGAUAUUAGGAGGAACACCAGUGGCGAAGGCGGCCUGCUGGGCUUUAACUGACGCUGAGGCUCGAAAGCGUGGGGAGCAAACAGGAUUAGAUACCCCUGUAUA
rnacentral:rRNA from 1 species